rnacentral:tRNA from 1 species
GAGGGUAUAGCUCAGUGGCAGAGCACAUGCUUAGCAUGCACGAAGUCCUAGGUUCAAUCCCCAGUACCUCCC